rnacentral:rRNA from 4 species
CCGGCGAGGGGAGUGAAAAAGAACCUGAAACCGUGUACGUACAAGCAGUGGGAGCCCCACCACUAAGCCAGUGGUGAACUCCACAUACGCAUCCUUUGCUGAGGAUACGGUUAACGGAGCGAAAGCGACGUUCAACCGCAAAAGAAGCAGAGGGGGCUUAGUGGUGGGGUGACUGCGUACCUUUUGUAUAAUGGGUCAGCGACUUAUAUUCUGUAGCAAGGUU